AAAGACCCCUCCCCUCACACUGGACCACUUUUACCUCAUUUCGGGACCCUUUUCCCUCACAUAAACCCCCCUCACCUCACACUAGGGCACUUUUCCCUCAUUUCGGGUCCCUUUUACCUCACAUAAACACCCCUCACCUCAGACCGGGACCCCUUUACCUCAUUCCGGGACAUUUUGCUUCAUUUAAAGACCCCUCCCCUCACACUGGACCACUUUUACCUCAUUUCGGGACCCUUUUCCCUCACAUAAACCCCCCUCACCUCACACUAGGGCACUUUUCCCUCAUUUCGGGUCCCUUUUACCUCACAUAAACACCCCUCACCUCAGACCGGGACCCCUUUACCUCAUUUCGGGACCCUUUUACCUCACAUAAACACCCCUCACCUCACACCGGGACCCCUUUACCUCAUUUUGGGACCCUUUUACCUCAUAAAGGACCCCUCACCUCAUUUUGGGACUUUUUGCUUCAUUUAAAGACCCCUCACCUCAAACUGAGGCACUUUUACCUCACGAAAGGACCCCUCACCUCAUUUCGGGACAUUUUGCUUCAUUUAAAGACCCCUCACCCCAAACCGGGCCACUUUUCCCUCAUUCCGGGGCCCUUUUCCCUCAUUUCGGGACCUUUUUACCUCAUUUCGGGACCCCACACCUCACACCGGGCCACUUUUACCUCAUUUUGGGACCCUUCCACCUCCUUUAACCCCCCUUUACCUCACGCCGGGCCCCUUUUACCUCAUUUUGGGCCCCUUUAUCUCAUUUUGCGACCCUUUCACCUCAUUUUGGGCCCCUUCCACCCCCCCACACCCCGCGUUUCCCCCUUU
rnacentral:lncRNA from 1 species